CCUAUGGGGGGCAGCAGUCGCGAAAACUUCACAAUGGAGGCAACUCCGAUGAGGGAAUUCCUAGUGCCAAUGCAUUUUGUGUUGGCUUUUCUUCAGCGUAGAUAACUGAUGGAAUAAGGGCUGGGUAAGACGGGUGCCAGCCGCCGCGGUAAUACCCGCAGCCCAAGUGGUGGUCGAUAUUAUUGAGUCUAAAACGUUCGUAGCCGGUUCAAUAAAUCUCUGGGUAAAUCGGAGGGCUCAACCUUCCGAAUUCCGGAGCGACUGUUGAACUUGGGACCGGGAGAGGCAAGAGGUACUUCUGGGGUAGGGGUAAAAUCCUGUAAUCCUAGAAGGACCACCGGUGGCGAAGGCGUCUUGCUAGAACGGAUCCGACGGUGAGGGACGAAGCCCUGGGUCGCAAACGGGAUUAGAUACCCCCGUAGUCC
rnacentral:rRNA from 1 species